rnacentral:snRNA from 1 species
AACCUUGAGCAGUGGUAAUAUCGAAACCAAUGAAGGACUCCUGAGGUGCGAUUAUUGCUAGUUGAAACAAUUAUAUUUCUAUAUCUCCGGCCAACGCCUCUGGAAUACCCAACUGAAUCAACAGUAACUUAAAUUACGCUACCACAUGGUCAAAAUAUUUUUUAAAUGAUCCAAAUGGUCUAUUUUGGAAAAAAAGAAACUUUU